AAAAAAAAAAAAAAAAAAAAAAAAAUAUAUAUAUAUAUAUAUAUAUAUAUAUAUAUAUAUAUAUAUAUAUAUAUGUUGACACAUAAUGACAUGAAAAUAUAUAUUUAUUUUUUAGCAACAACAUAUUCUAACUGUUUAUUUUGUAUUUUUAUCAAAUUUUUAAAAUUUAUUAAAAAAAUUACUUACUAAUUUAAUGAAUAGAAAGUUUUGAGUCGUGACAUCGGCACAGGUGUUGCAUCAUGCCGAUAUCUUGUUGGUACGAUAAGACAUUGUGAAUACGGCUCUUCCGAUGGGUACUUAAAUCUUUGAAU
rnacentral:lncRNA from 1 species